AUGGUCAAAUCAUAAUGAAAACACUAGUUCUUAUUUGAUCACUGAAGUUAAGCAGUUUCUAACCUGGUCAGUGCUUAGAUGAGUGGCUGCUUGGGAACACUGGGUACUGCAAG